UUUUGUGCUGUGAUGAUCUAUGAUAAUCCCAGCUCUAUGAGACCUUUUGUGGUCAGGGAGUAGAAUGUUAUCCAUACAAAUCUGAGCCCAGAA